ACCAGUACCGUGAGGGAAAGGCGAAAAGAACCCCGGCGAGGGGAGUGAAAAAGAACCUGAAACCGUGUACGUACAAGCAGUGGGAGCACGCUUAGGCGUGUGACUGCGUACCUUUUGUAUAAUGGGUCAGCGACUUAUAUUCUGUAGCAAGGUUAACCGAAUAGGGGAGCCGAAGGGAAACCGAGUCUUAACUGGGCGUUAAGUUGCAGGGUAUAGACCCGAAACCCGGUGAUCUAGCCAUGGGCAGGUUGAAGGUUGGGUAACACUAACUGGAGGACCGAACCGACUAAUGUUGAAAAAUUAGCGGAUGACUUGUGGCUGGGGGUGAAAGGCCAAUCAAACCGGGAGAUAGCUGGUUCUCCCCGAAAGCUAUUUAGGUAGCGCCUCGUGAAUUCAUCUCCGGGGGUAGAGCACUGUUUCGGCAAGGGGGUCAUCCCGACUUACCAACCCGAUGCAAACUGCGAAUACCGGAGAAUGUUAUCACGGGAGACACACGGCGGGUGCUAACGUCCGUCGUGAAGAGGGAAACAACCCAGACCGCCAGCUAAGGUCCCAAAGUCAUGGUUAAGUGGGAAACGAUGUGGGAAGGCCCAGACAGCCAGGAUGUUGGCUUAGAAGCAGCCAUCAUUUAAAGAAAGCGUAAUAGCUCACUGGUCGAGUCGGCCUGCGCGGAAGAUGUAACGGGGCUAAACCAUGCACCGAAGCUGCGGCAGCGACGCUGAUGCGUUGUUGGGUAGGGGAGCGUUCUGUAAGCCUGUGAAGGUGUGCUGUGAGGCAUGCUGGAGGUAUCAGAAGUGCGAAUGCUGACAUAAGUAACGAUAAAGCGGGUGAAAAGCCCGCUCGCCGGAAGACCAAGGGUUCCUGUCCAACGUUAAUCGGGGCAGGGUGAGUCGACCCCUAAGGCGAGGCCGAAAGGCGUAGUCGAUGGGAAACAGGUUAAUAUUCCUGUACUUGGUGUUACUGCGAAGGGGGGACGGAGAAGGCUAUGUUGGCCGGGCGACGGUUGUCCCGGUUUAAGCGUGUAGGCUGGUUUUCCAGGCAAAUCCGGAAAAUCAAGGCUGAGGCGUGAUGACGAGGCACUACGGUGCUGAAGCAACAAAUGCCCUGCUUCCAGGAAAAGCCUCUAAGCAUCAGGUAACAUCAAAUCGUACCCCAAACCGACACAGGUGGUCAGGUAGAGAAUACCAAGGCGCUUGAGAGAACUCGGGUGAAGGAACUAGGCAAAAUGGUGCCGUAACUUCGGGAGAAGGCACGCUGAUAUGUAGGUGAAGCGACUUGCUCGUGGAGCUGAAAUCAGUCGAAGAUACCAGCUGGCUGCAACUGUUUAUUAAAAACACAGCACUGUGCAAACACGAAAGUGGACGUAUACGGUGUGACGCCUGCCCGGUGCCGGAAGGUUAAUUGAUGGGGUCAGCGCAAGCGAAGCUCUUGAUCGAAGCCCCGGUAAACGGCGGCCGUAACUAUAACGGUCCUAAGGUAGCGAAAUUCCUUGUCGGGUAAGUUCCGACCUGCACGAAUGGCGUAAUGAUGGCCAGGCUGUCUCCACCCGAGACUCAGUGAAAUUGAACUCGCUGUGAAGAUGCAGUGUACCCGCGGCAAGACGGAAAGACCCCGUGAACCUUUACUAUAGCUUGACACUGAACAUUGAGCCUUGAUGUGUAGGAUAGGUGGGAGGCUUUGAAGUGUGG
rnacentral:rRNA from 1 species